rnacentral:tRNA from 1 species
GCAGGAGUCGCCUAGCCUGGUCAAUGGCGCCAGCCUUAGGAGCUGGUUCCUUAGUGGAUACGCAGGUUCAAAUCCUGCCUCCUGCA